UAGGGAAUCUUCCGCAAUGGGCGAAAGCCUGACGGAGCAACGCCGCGUGAGUGAUGAAGGUCUUCGGAUCGUAAAACUCUGUUAUUAGGGAAGAACAAAUGUGUAAGUAACUAUGCACGUCUUGACGGUACCUAAUCAGAAAGCCACGGCUAACUACGUGCCAGCAGCCGCGGUAAUACGUAGGUGGCAAGCGUUAUCCGGAAUUAUUGGGCGUAAAGCGCGCGUAGGCGGUUUUUUAAGUCUGAUGUGAAAGCCCACGGCUCAACCGUGGAGGGUCACUGGAAACUGGAAAACUUGAGUGCAGAAGAGGAAAGUGGAAUUCCAUGUGUAGCGGUGAAAUGCGCAGAGAUAUGGAGGAACACCAGUGGCGAAGGCGACUUUCUGGUCUGUAACUGACGCUGAUGUGCGAAAGCGUGGGGAUCAAACAGG
rnacentral:rRNA from 1 species